UACGAAGGGGGCUAGCGUUGCUCGGAAUGACUGGGCGUAAAGGGCGCGUAGGCGGCUCAUACAGUCAGAUGUGAAAUUCCUGGGCUUAACCUGGGGGCUGCAUUUGAUACGUGUGGGCUUGAGUGGGGAAGAGGGUCGUGGAAUUCCCAGUGUAGAGGUGAAAUUCGUAGAUAUCGGGAGGAACACCAGUAGCGAAGGCGGCACUCUGGGCCGGUACUGACGCUGAGGAGCGAAAGCGUGGGGAGCAAACAGG
rnacentral:rRNA from 1 species